rnacentral:lncRNA from 10 species
AAAUAUGUGCACAUAUUUACAUGGAAUAUGAGGGUAAACUAGAAAAUUAAGGGUAAUCUAAAAUAGAAAAAAAGAAGAAAACAAUAAGUUAAAAGUAUGAAAAGACAUCCAGAAUGAGCAAGUUACUGAGGUUGUGCCUCAACUUUAGCUUGAGUUUCCUGGCAGCAAAGGUAAAAAGGUGAUCUUACAGCUGGAAAAUCAGUGGGUGAAAACGGAGAUACAGCAACUCUGUCUUGGACUACACCUUAACUGAAGACGUCUAUGUAGGUGACGAAAACUCAUGGAAGGACUUGCCACAAUUCAAACAUGGGCUUUUGGGGUUUCUGAGACCAACAGAACCACCAUAUACUUUGUGGGUGUAGGGAUUCUCCCUGCAUGUUGAGCCUGUCACCCUAAUGACAACCAGCUUUGCAUUAACUAGAGUCAGCCCCAAAAAUGCAUCUGUUACUCCAGAGAAGGACAAAUCCUUAUUAUUACUUUAUAGGAUUUUCUCUACUAGGGGCUUCCAUAAAGUAAACAUGCUUUCAGGAAAUUAACAGAGUAAUUUUAAGCCAAAAUCCAUAGCAUUAA